GACGAACGCUGGCGGCGUGCUUAACACAUGCAAGUCGAACGGAAAGGCCCUGCUUGCAGGGUACUCGAGUGGCGAACGGGUGAGUAACACGUGGGUGAUCUGCCCUGCACUUCGGGAUAAGCCUGGGAAACUGGGUUUAAUACCGGAUAGGAGCCAUUUUUAGUGUGAUGGUUGGAAAGUUUUUUCGGUGUAGGAUGAGCUCGCGGCCUAUCAGCUUGUUGGUGGGGUAAUGGCCUACCAAGGCGGCGACGGGUAGCCGGCCUGAGAGGGUGUACGGCCACAUUGGGACUGAGAUACGGCCCAGACUCCUACGGGAGGCAGCAGUGGGGAAUAUUGCACAAUGGGCGCAAGCCUGAUGCAGCGACGCCGCGUGGGGGAUGACGGCCUUCGGGUUGUAAACUCCUUUCGCUAGGGACGAAGCUUUUUGUGACGGUACCUAGAUAAGAAGCACCGGCUAACUACGUG
rnacentral:rRNA from 1 species